rfam:Faecalibacterium prausnitzii A2-165 genomic scaffold Scfld3, whole genome shotgun sequence.
ACAAUGAUACUUCCGUAAUUCGCGGCUCGGUCAUAAAGAAGACGGGCUGGCGGGUCAGCCGCCCCUGA